GACGAACGCUGGCGGCGUGCUUAACACAUGCAAGUCGAACGGAAAGGCCCUGCUUUUGUGGGGUGCUCGAGUGGCGAACGGGUGAGUAACACGUGAGUAACCUGCCCUUGACUUUGGGAUAACUUCAGGAAACUGGGGCUAAUACCGGAUAGGAGCUCCUGCUGCAUGGUGGGGGUUGGAAAGUUUCGGCGGUUGGGGAUGGACUCGCGGCUUAUCAGCUUGUUGGUGGGGUAGUGGCUUACCAAGGCUUUGACGGGUAGCCGGCCUGAGAGGGUGACCGGCCACAUUGGGACUGAGAUACGGCCCAGACUCCUACGGGAGGCAGCAGUGGGGAAUAUUGCACAAUGGGCGGAAGCCUGAUGCAGCAACGCCGCGUGCGGGAUGACGGCCUUCGGGUUGUAAACCGCUUUCGCCUGUGACGAAGCGUGAGUGACGGUAAUGGGUAAAGAAGCACCGGCUAACGACG
rnacentral:rRNA from 1 species